GUUGGUGACCUGUGAUGGGGCCCCUCAAGAGCCUUCCUGUAACCUCGAGUGACCCCAGGAUAGGAAAAGUAAGCACACAAGGCAACAUGUCAAACAUCUACGUUUCAGAAAGAUAUUAUGAAGUCACUCUGGAUUCUGCAGCCUCCAGACUUAGAACCCUAGGUGGCUGUGAACUUGUGAUCUUCCUGCCUCAGUUUUCCAAGUGCUGGGAUUACAGAAAUGAAAAUGGCUGGCUCUGAUUGUUAUGCUCCAGCAGCAUCACGUGAUAUUGAUACCCCUCCUCCCCCCAUGGCUACUCCUGUGUUGUACAAACAGAGUCUAGUGAUGUCUCCUUUCUCUCUAGAAGCAGGGAAUUAGAAAUCUUUUAAGCGUAGGGGGAAAUACAGACAUAGGAAGAAAAGUUCCCAGGCACCGGGACUCUCCAGGGAGCACAGACCAUUGCAUGAAACGGAUCUGUGGGAAAUGUGAUGACCUCAGCCCUGUCCCUUGACCACAAACUGAGGAGCAAACCCCACCUUGAGGCACAUGGUCUGGCUUCUCCCUGUUUGUACUGGCUGGUUUGUGUGUCCACUUGAUACAAGUUAGAGUCACCAGAGAGGAAGAAGCCUCAGUUGAGGAAAUGCCUCCAUGAGAUCCAGCUGUAAGGCAUUUUCUCAAUUAGUGAUCAAGGAGGGAGGGCUCAGCUCAAGGUAGGUGGUGCUGUCCCUGAGCUGGUGGUCCUGGGUUCUAUAAGAAGGCUGGCUAAGCAAGCCAGGGGAAGCAAGCAAGGAAGCAACACCCCUCCAUGGUCUCUGUUUCAGCUCCUGCCUCUAGGUUCCUGCCCUGUUUGAGUUCCUGUCCUGACUUCCUUUGGCGAUGAACAGCAAUGUGGAAGUGUAAUCUGAAUAAACCCUUUCCUCCCC
rnacentral:lncRNA from 1 species